rnacentral:lncRNA from 1 species
AGAUAGGAGACUAUCACCCAGUCAUCAACCUAUGCCAACCCAAUGGUUUUGGGGCGUACCGACAACUCAAGAAGGAAGGUAUCCAUCUCUUAGGGGAUCUACAAGGUUGGACUUGAAGGGCACUUACCUAUAGGUUCACAUGGUGCCUCAUGAAGUUUCUGAAGUCGGUCACUGCGCACUGAAAAGCAAAGAGUAUCUGCUGUCACAUACCUAGACGACUUACCUUUUGCAAAUCCAAUUCAUGACUACGUUUACAAACGAGAUUUAUGUUUACAGUUUCGGGAAUUGUUGGGAUUCAUAGUGAACAGAGAGGAGUUGGUUCGAUCCCAGUUCCGAGUGAUUCAGUUCCUCUAUUUCAGAAUAGAUUCCACCUUGGGCGGAUUACACCUUCCCAC